rnacentral:hammerhead_ribozyme from 1 species
GCAUUGUUGAGGAGUCCCACAAUAGGACGAAACAACCUUCCAGUGC